rnacentral:rRNA from 1 species
CCUACGGGUGGCAGCAGUGGGGAAUAUUGGACAAUGGGGGGAACCCUGAUCCAGCCAUGCCGCGUGUGUGAAGAAGGCCCUCGGGUUGUAAAGCACUUUCAGUGAGGAAGAACGCCUGGUGGUUAAUACCCAUCAGGAAAGACAUCACUCACAGAAGAAGCACCGGCUAACUCCGUGCCAGCAGCCGCGGUAAUACGGAGGGUGCGAGCGUUAAUCGGAAUUACUGGGCGUAAAGCGCGCGUAGGUGGCUUGAUAAGCCGGUUGUGAAAGCCCGGGGCUCAACCUGGGAACGGCAUCCGGAACUGUCAAGCUAGAGUGCAGGAGAGGAAGGUAGAAUUCCCGGUGUAGCGGUGAAAUGCGUAGAGAUCGGGAGGAAUACCAGUGGCGAAGGCGGCCUUCUGGACUGACACUGACACUGAGGUGCGAAAGCGUGGGUAGCAAACAGGAUUAGAUACCCCUGUAGUC